GAGAGCGCGAACGCAGUCCCCCACUACCACAAAUUAUGCAGUCGAGUUUCCCACAUUUGGGGAAAUCGCAGGGGUCAGCACAUCCCGAGUGCAAUGGAUAAGCCUCGCCCUGGGAAAACCACCUUCCUGAUCAUGGUGUCUCCCCUGCCAGGUAAGUAUGACUUCCUCCCCCUCCGCCCCAACCCAGCCUCACACGCACCACACUGUACACACACGGUCACUGGCCUCCCCGCACCCCAAAACCCUCCGCACCCACUCCCGUCUCAACCAUCCUCACCCCCACACACGUCGUCCUCAGACAAGCCGAGCCACAGCUCGGGCGCUUCCACAGCCCGGGGAAUUCUACCGCCCGCUAGAAUCCUACCGCGCCCACCGCGGCCUCAUUUACAUAAGGCCACGCCCCGGUCAGGACGCAACGGCCCCGCCUCACUCUCCGCCCCUCCCCGCGCCACCGGGCUCCACGCGCAGGCGGUCUCCCUGCCCCCAGCUCUGCUCCCGCCGGGAUCUCAGCGCUAGGGCUUCUCCUCUUCUUCCCGCCCCCCGCCUCCUUCCUCUCCUUGCGGGUCUCCUCCGUCUUCUCCCCUCCACACUGAUUUGCUUCCCGUUCGUCUUCCCUCUCCAUGCAGCUCCCGCAACGCCCCCUGCGCCCGUCGUGGCGCCCACGCGGCGGUCAGCACCCGGCCGACUGCGCCCGCCUGAGAGGAACACGAGGGAGGACGUCCCCCAGCCGGAGAAGCGCCCACACACCUCUCUCGCUCUCGCUCUCUGUCGCUCUCUCUCUCUCUCUCUCUCUCUGCCCAGAGCCCGGUUUGAAGGAGACACAGUGCGAUGGCUCCACCUGAGGGGCUCAGCCGCCAAGCCAGUCCCCCCGCACCAGGGCUGGACACCAGCGCGGGGCUACCGAACGUCUGGCAGCUCUGGGCGCGCGAACCCAUACCUGUCGUUUGAGAACUGCCGCGUGCCUGCUGCUUUACAGGCUCAGCACGUUCUUAUGCAAAGUGGAAGCCACUGGUGGUCACACAGAUUGGUUGUUCACUUUUCAAGAGUGGGCUGUGCUCCUUUCCCAAGGAGGGCAAGGACAUAACUUACAAAAGGAAAAAUACGGGAGAACCCCCUCCUCUCACAGCUGCGUUUCUGUUGCGCGAGUUCUCUUAAGGCACAGAGCUACUUUUCAGCAUGUCACAGAGAGCGAACAUGCAAGCGUGGCGUUUACGGCUCUCCCCCAAAAGUGAUCGGUGACUGGAUCCCGAGCAGACCUGAGCUUUAUAGGGUGUCAUAGGCUGUUGCUUUCGUAAAUGUCACGGACAUAAAACGAACUUUGUGGAAGCCCCGAGUUCUCAUGAGUACUGAUUCUGCGACCAGGCCCGGCAGCACAGGGACGGGGGAGGAAUUGUCCGGAUCCUGGAAUAAUCACGGGGCAGCACAGCCUCGCUCUGGGCUUCUGUGUCCUACUUGUUUACAGACUUGUCGUCCGUUCUGAGGAUUGGGCCAGCGAGUUGCUCUGUUGACAGCCAAAGGCACUCAUGGAAAGACUUAAACAACCAAGUGUGACAGCACACGUGGGGUCACUCCGUCUACCAGGAAAGCAGGACCCGUGUCUGCCUCAGGUGUGAGUCUUUGGAUGGAUCUAUUUGUUACUGGAGGUGGUGGGGAGGAUGGUGUUUGAGGGUUUUGUGGUUGCUGCUGUCUGUGUUGUUGAACUCCUUCUAGGAGAUCAUUGUGGAGCGAUAGCUUUGUGUUAGUUCCUGGAAGGACAUGACUAAGGACACUUGCCGAGGAAUAGUUGCGGAUCUGGGUGUCACAUUUGUGGAAGGACUUCUACGCUUUGCAGUUAAAGAUGCUCCCUUAAAGGAAACCAACUUUAUUCAUACCUUUGGGUCAAUGUUAGAGAGCAAUAUGUUGAAAUUGGUCUGCAGCCCACUUGCAUCAGAAUCACCUGGGUUUGAUGUAAGAAAUGCAGAUUCUGGGGCCUCACACCAACUACAUCUCUUGGGGUUAGAGCCCAGGUGGUAGCUUCUGUGACCUCCAUUGCUGACUCUAAGGCUUUCCCAACCUAAGAACCACUCUCUUUUAGUUUUAGAUUGGGGAUUCUUACACAAUGAUCAAAGAAGCCCAAACUUUUUCCUUUACUCCGAAGACUUUAAACACUGGACCGUGACCUUCUUGUGGAGACUGUGACUUUGCUCCUCUCGCACACUCAGCCUAGAGACGGUGCCCAGAUCAGAAAUAAAGCAGGUAAAGAAAAAUGUUUGAUUUCUUUAUACACGUUUUACUUUCAUAGCCACCAAAAAGACUGUGUUUCAUUUCCUCUAACAGACUCUGUCCACCAGUUAUGUUGCCCAAAACAUAUCGCUAUAUAGCAACAUAGAGAAGUAUCUAUGGUACAUUUAUACAGAAGGACACGCAUUCUAAAGCACUGCGAAGACACGGACGAGGCUUUCACACAACUGGGGGCCUCUCAGGUGCCACUUAAGUAUGAUCACUGGGUUAUCUUACAGAGGACUCUCCAUGGGCUUGGUCUGGCCACGAGUCCCAGGUCCCCAGAGAGGACUUAGUUAAAAGGGGCAAGCGUAACUAGGCCGCGGUCAUCGCCACACUUUGGAGGCCAUAAACGGAAAUAGGAGGUGCCAGGCUAAGCGGGACAUUGCACGUGGGAAGCCACCACUUUUGCCACGUGGAUUCAAAGCACUCGGGUGCUGCAGUGUAGACGGACGCCCAGCCCACGCUGGCCGGGUUGAGCUGGCCCCGAGGAAGCGUACAUCUGGGAGUAGUGCCGGCUGAGCCCCACUGUCCCUCAGGGCACCGCUGUCACUCGUGUGCUUUAGAACUGCUGAGGAGCUCCCGUGUGGGGACCACGCGUCCCAUCCGUAGGGAGCAGGGUCCUGUUUCCCCUGGGUGACCACGUGAGGACGGGCACUGAAGCGAGAAGUGGCCGUUGCGAGUUCCCAGGCCAGUGUGGCGUUUAGAAGCAGGGUCACAAGGCCCUGUACAAACCGUGCCUGUUCUGGGCUGCAGGGCCGGGCCGAGGGCACCCUGGCUGAUGGUGCUCUGAUGAUGCUCUGGAUGGUGCUCUUUAACCACGGGACAGGCCCUCUGCCUUCUGCCCUCCUGCACCGAAGCGCUGUGGGCCUGGUGUGGGCGUCCUCGAGGCCACCCGCUCCUCCCACUUCGUCCUCCUCAAGUGGCCUCAUCGGCCAAUAAGGCCACAGGCUCCUCUUUAAAAAACAAUGCCCUUAGCACUGGUGCAGUGCUUUUUAAGUACAAACGUUGAGGGUUUCCUUCUCCCAGUGUUUCACCCUGACUGUGGCUAUUUUCUGUAUUCCGUAAAAGUCUGUAUUCAGAAUCCUUUUCCUACAUUGAUUCUAAACUCUAGGAGCCACACCAAGACAGACCCACAGGAACUGGAUUUCUUCUCCUGCCCGAAACCAGAAAGCAACUACAAACCUCACAAGGAGAGGGAAUGCAGAUUUCCGAGACCCUGGGCAUCAGGGUUCGAGGACGGCGAUCCCGGACACUUGGAAACACACAGGCGAGCCGAGCCCUACCGUGGCUCCAGUGUGCUGCCCCGAGAGACUUUCCAAGCAAGGAACCGGGAGAGGAGACUGAAGAGGAGCCCAGUGGACCUCGUGGGGUCGAGGACACGGAGCUGAGAGUCCACAGGAAGGUGUACAAGGGAGGACAGAGCUGCGGAAAGCCAACUAAGGAGAACUGCUGGGGCGCCCAAAGGGUGCAGCACAGUCCUGCUCUGUGCCUCCCUGGGAGCCAACUCCAGCAAGUCGGGGGCAAACCUGUGAGAAGAUUAGAGGCAAUAGGCCCCGGUUCUCACAAAGGGGAAAGAAUUGCUCAUGAGGAGAGAGAUCAAUCCUUUGAACAGAGCCCAGAGCUGACCCAGAUGUGAGAACCACCAGAGAAGGACAUGAACACAUGUAUUCUAAUCACAGGUGUGCCUGGGAAGCUCACUCAGUUGGGCUUCUGACUUCUACUCAGGUCAUGAUCUGGAGGUCUGUGAGUUCAAGCCUGACGACAGGCUCUGUGCUGACAGCUCAGAGCUGGGAGCCUGCUUCGGAUCCUGUGUCUCCCUCUCUAUCUGCCCCCAUCCUGUGCGUGCAUAUGCGCUCUCUCUCGCUCUCUCUCUC